CUACGGGGUGCAGCAGUGAGGAAUAUUGCACAAUGGGGGGAACCCUGAUGCAGCAACGCCGCGUGGAGGAUGACGCAUUUCGGUGUGUAAACUCCUUUUAUAUGUCAAGAAAAUGACGGUAGCAUAUGAAUAAGCACCGGCGAACUCCGUGCCAGCAGCCGCGGUAAUACGGAGGGUGCAAGCGUUACUCGGAAUCACUGGGCGUAAAGGACGCGUAGGCGGGUUGGAAAGUCAGGUGUGAAAUCCUACAGCUUAACUGUAGAACUGCACUUGAAACUUCUAAUCUAGAGUAUGGGAGGGGGAGAUGGAAUUAGUGGUGUAGGGGUAAAAUCCGUAGAUAUCACUAGGAAUACCAAAAGCGAAGGCGAUCUCCUGGAACAUUACUGACGCUAAGGCGUGAAAGCGUGGGGAGCAAACAGGAUUAGAUACCCCUGUAGUC
rnacentral:rRNA from 1 species